GGUUGAACUUUUUAAAAGUAAAU
rnacentral:snRNA from 1 species